UACGGGGGGGGUAAGCGUUGUUCGGAUUUACUGGGCGUAAAGGGCGCGUAGGCGGCGCGACAAGUCACUUGUGAAAUCUCCGGGCUUAACUCGGAGCGGCCAAGUGAUACUGUCGUGCUAGAGUGCGGAAGGGGCAACUGGAAUUCUCGGUGUAGCGGUGAAAUGCGUAGAUAUCGAGAGGAACACCUGCGGCGAAGGCGGGUUGCUGGGCCGACACUGACGCUGAAGCGCGAAAGCGUGGGGAGCAAACAGG
rnacentral:rRNA from 1 species